AGGUGCUGCAUGGCUGUCGUCAGCUCGUGUCGUGAGAUGUUCGGUUAAGUCCGGCAACGAGCGCAACCCACAUCCCUAGUUGCCAGCAGUUCGGCUGGGCACUCUAUGGAAACUGCCCGUGAUAAGCGGGAGGAAGGUGUGGAUGACGUCAAGUCCUCAUGGCCCUUACGGGUUGGGCUACACACGUGCUACAAUGGUAGUGACAAUGGGUUAAUCCCAAAAAGCUAUCUCAGUUCGGAUUGGGGUCUGCAACUCGACCCCAUGAAGUCGGAAUCGCUAGUAAUCGCGUAACAGCAUGACGCGGUGAAUACGUUCCCGGGCCUUGUACACACCGCCCGUCACACCAUGGG
rnacentral:rRNA from 1 species